AGAAUGAACGCUGGCGGCAUGCCUAACACAUGCAAGUCGAACGAAACCUUCGGGUUUAGUGGCGCACGGGUGCGUAACGCGUGGGAAUCUACCCUUCGGUUCGGAAUAACAGUUAGAAAUGACUGCUAAUACCGGAUAAUGACGUAAGUCCAAAGAUUUAUCGCCGAGGGAUGAGCCCGCGUAGGAUUAGCUAGUUGGUGUGGUAAAGGCGCACCAAGGCGACGAUCCUUAGCUGGUCUGAGAGGAUGAUCAGCCACACUGGGACUGAGACACGGCCCAGACUCCUACGGGAGGCAGCAGUGGGGAAUAUUGGACAAUGGGCGAAAGCCUGAUCCAGCAAUGCCGCGUGAGUGAUGAAGGCCUUAGGGUUGUAAAGCUCUUUUACCCGGGAUGAUAAUGACAGUACCGGGAGAAUAAGCUCCGGCUAACUCCGUGCCAGCAGCCGC
rnacentral:rRNA from 1 species